ACUACGUGUAGUACGUAGUUUGAUCAGUGGCUACAGGACGACGCUGGCGGCGUGCUUAACACAUGCAAGUCGAACGGGGCGAAGUGAUAGCUUGCUAUUAUGGAGCCUAGUGGCAAACGGGUGAGUAACGCGUAGGCAACCUGCCCUUCAGAUGGGGACAACACCUCGAAAGGGGUGCUAAUACCGAAUGACGUUUCCUGGUCGCAUGACCUGGAAACCAAAGGCCGGGCAACCGGUCACUGAAGGAUGGGCCUGCGUCUGAUUAGCUAGUUGGUGGGGUAACGGCCCACCAAGGCGACGAUCAGUAGCCGGUCUGAGAGGAUGAACGGCCACAUUGGGACUGAGAUACGGCCCAGACUCCUACGGGAGGCAGCAGUGGGGAAUAUUGGGCAAUGGGGGAAACCCUGACCCAGCAACGCCGCGUGAAGGAAGAAGGCCUUCGGGUUGUAAACUUCUUUUACCAGGGACGAAGAACGUGACGGUACCUGGAGAAAAAGCAACGGCUAACUACGUG
rnacentral:rRNA from 1 species